GUGCUCACUUCGGCAGCAUAUAUACUAAAAUUGGAAUGAUACAGAGAAGAUUAGCACGGCCCCUGUGCAAGGAUGACAUGCAAAUUCGUGAAGCGUUCCAUAUUUUU